rnacentral:rRNA from 1 species
GACGAACGCUGGCGGCGUGCCUAAUACAUGCAAGUUGAGCGAUGAAGAUUGGUGCUUGCACCAAUUUGAAGAGCAGCGAACGGGUGAGUAACGCGUGGGGAAUCUGCCUUUGAGCGGGGGACAACAUUUGGAAACGAAUGCUAAUACCGCAUAACAACUUUAAACAUAAGUUUUAAGUUUGAAAGAUGCAAUUGCAUCACUCAAAGAUGAUCCCGCGUUGUAUUAUCUAGUUGGUGAGGUAAAGGCUCACCAAGGCGAUGAUACAUAGCCGACCUGAGAGGGUGAUCGGCCACAUUGGGACUGAGACACGGCCCAAACUCCUACGGGAGGCAGCAGUAGGGAAUCUUCGGCAAUGGACGAAAGUCUGACCGAGCAACGCCGCGUGAGGGAAGAAGGGUUUCGGAUCGUAAAACUCUGUUGGUAGAGAAGAACGUUGGUGAGAGUGGAAAGCUCAUCAAGUGACGGUAACUACCCAGAAAGGGACGGCUAACUACGUG